GAAAGUCUAGUGGAACGAUGCAGGGUUCAUUGGGUUUGUUUACAAAAAUUCAAGCAUCCGGUUAAGAAGACGACAAAUAAGAAUGGUAUUAAGUUGGUAGAAUGGAACUCCUUCCUGAUUCCUGCACAUGUAAGUUACCAGAUACUCUUGAGGGACCAAUUUAAGGGCAAACAGACAAACGUUUUGAUGCAAAGAAAGCAUUGGAUUUGAAAGUUCCCAUGGAGAAGAAAAAUGGAGAGAUUCUAAAAGUAUGAAGAUACUCCUGUGUAUAAUGAGGAAAUCUUGUCAGUGAAUGUUGUUGCAAUUGUGGACCAGGCCAGAGUUGUACUAAACCAACUAAGACACAAUGAGAUACAGGAAUGACACAAUGAGAAACAGGAAACAGGAAAGUGAUGACUGAUCGCCACCUGUUACAAAUUCAUCUAGAAAACUCCCCACAUCCAACAAGAGACAGUCUGACUUCAAAAUCUUCAUUGAAGGCAACUUAAUGGACAAGACAUCCGUCACAUAAAGAUUCACUAAAAUUGGAAUGAUAUACCAAUUUUAACUUUUAACAGACAAAUACAUUAUAGAUUUGAAAAUAGAUUACCCUUAGAUAAGUUGGAUGAUUAACAUUUACCUCAACACAGUACAAAGUGCUCAUGUUGAACUAUUGUGAUUGAUCAUAGUCUGUCCUUCAUUUUUAUUAACAGUUUCAUACAGUGUUAACACUUUAGUAUGGGGACUCAUUUUUAGCUCAACUUCGUAGAAUAUGGAGAGCUAUACUACUCACCCAAGCGUCGGCGUCGGUGUCACCCCUUGGUUAAGGGUUUGCGUGCAAGCACACAUAGGUUAAUAUCUCAGCAACUACUUGAGGUAUUGCAUUGAGACUUUAUACAAUGGUACUCAACCAUCCAACCUACUUAUUUAAACAAGUAAGAUAACUCUAGUUUGCAUUUAAUGUAAAUAAUAGGCCUUUAUUAUUUGACUUAGAAAUUCUGGUUAAGGUUUUGCAUGCAAGCACACAUUAUAUCUAAGGUUAAUAUCUCAGCAACUGCUUGAGGUAUUGCAUUGAGACUUGAUACAAUGGUACUCAACCAUCCAACCUACUUAAUUUUCCAAGUUAUAUAACUAUAGUUUGCAUUUAAUGCAAAUACUUGCGUUUAUUAUUUCACUCAGAAAUUCUGGUUAAGGUUUUGCAUGUAAGCACACAUAGGUUAAUAUCUCAGCAACUACUGGAUGAAUUGCAUUGAGACUUUAUACAACCACCCAACCUAAUUGAAUAAUCAAGUUAGAUAAAAAUUCUGGUUAAAAUUUUGCAUGUAACCACAUUUAUGUUAAUAUCUCAGCACAUCAUGUAUUGCAUUGAAAUCUAAUCUAACAGUGAUCCAUGCAUGUUUCGCCAAAACUUUUCAAUCCUUUCACUGAAAAGCAGCGGAAUAGUCGAGAGCGCUGUCUCUGUGACAGCUCUUGUCUCUUUGGUCUUUAUUCAUACUGGCCAGAAUAUGUUUACCAAAAAAAUCUUAGUAGAGAUUGAUAACUGUUCAGGUUGGACAAAAAGCAUGUAGGUUGUUUGUUCUAAUAAUAUAAACUGUAAAUGCUUCAGAAACUAUAUAUAUAAUUUUCAUGAUAUUUGUCAGUAUUUAUUCUCGUCAACAUUUAAAUAAUAUUAGGUGAAACUUGUUUAUUGGUCAAAAUGUGUUUGAUUAGAGUGGCCUCAAGUUCCACUUUAUAUGAAUGAAAUUUGGUCAAGUUUUAGAAAAAAACUAUGUUCUAGUUUUAUAGGCCAUAUUCUCUUCCCAAGCCCUCCUUAAAGAAUGAAUGUAGGUAAGAUGAAACAGGAGUCACUAAAUCAAGUAUUAAAAGCCUUAAAAAUUGCUAUUCAUAGAGGUAUUGUUUCCUCAUCAUAAAUCACAACUUAGCCAGCAAGACUUUACAACAAAUAAGGCAUAACAUGUAAAAAGUUAAUAAUUAGGCACAUAUUUUAGUGAAUAAAAUCUUGUGAACAUAUUAUUGAAACAAAUAAUGUGUCUGGUUCUGAGGUGAGCAAUAAAGCACAUUGCUUAGUAACAAUUGAGCUAGCUCAUUAUUAAAAGUUUGUUUUAAACAUGAAUUAAAUGAAUGCAAAUCAUAUAUUAUUAUUUUUAAUCUAUAUUUUUUUUAGUUACCUUGUUCUGUUGUUAAUUUCCAUACUGACUUGGUCAAUUAUGGCUAAUUGUCUAAUUAUAUUUUAACUUCUAACCUAAAUGUUUCAUUGUACUUUUGAGUGUUCUGUUAACUAUAUUGCACAUUAUCCUAUAUGACAGUAUAAAUUCAAUAAAACCAUGGUUAUUAAGUUCCAUACAUAUUGGAGCACAUGGUAAGCCUCUAGAAAUGUCACUUCUUAAACCUAGAUUCUUGAUCUGUUCGCCACAUUGUUUUGUUAAUUUUUUGUUUAUAAAAACAAAUGAUUGUUUAAUGUCAAGGAAACCUUUUUAAAGUUAAAAUGUAGAUGUACAUAGAUAACUGUCAAAUAUUAUUUACCAUUUAAUAACUGUCUAAAGGCAAAAUUUCCCUUCAUUUUUAUAUUUGAUUUGGGUCCCUAGGGUCAUGGUCACUGUAACUAAAAAUAGAAAAAUGCUUGGUACUGAAUAACUUCAGUUUUAAUACAUUUAAAACUGAAUCUCACAAUAAAGGCUGAAGUUCUUGUUGCAUUGCAGCAUUUCUAGUUAACUUUUUAAUUUGACUCUUUUUAUUGCUUUCGACAGGCACAUAUUACAUCAUUAUUGUAUUCAUUUUUAAGACAAAGCCUCAUUUAAUUGAGCGUGCUGUCCAAAGACAGCUCUUGUUGACAUAAUUAUAAGACACCUUAUGUUAUGGUUUAUAUGAACAAUAGCUGUUUCUGUGUAUGUUUUAGAAGAAACUUCCAUUUCUUAUCAUAUUGAUGGACAUAGAUAUACAUACAUGUAUGGGAUUAUUGACAUCAGAUUCUUAGGAUUAAAUUUACUAAUGUUCUGUUCAUGUUCAAAAUAGAUACAGUUAUGGUAAAUGCAUA